rnacentral:tRNA from 1 species
GGCCGCGUAGCUCAGUUGGCAGAGCAUUGGGCUAGUAUUCCAAAGGUCGUAGGUUUGAUUCCCACUGUGGCUG